UGUUAAAAAACAAACAAACAAACAAACAAACAAAAAACCCAACUGUGACUCCUGAGCCCUGUUCCCCAUGCUAAGUUCAGGUAUAAAUUGAGUGACAGACAUCA